GGUGGUUCAGCGGUAGAAUGUUCGCCUACCACGCCCACGCGGGCGACGCGGGUUCGAUUCCCGGCCGUUCACUCA